GAUGAAGAACGUAGCGAAAUGCGAUAAGUAAUGCGAAUUGCAGAAUCCGUGAGUCAUCGAAUCUUUGAACGCACAUUGCGCCCGCCAGUAUUCUGGCGGGCAUGCCUGUCCGAGCGUCAUUUCAACCCUCGAACCCCUCCGGGGGGUCGGCGUUGGGGACCUCGGGAGCCCCUAAGACGGGAUCCCGGCCCCGAAAUACAGUGGCGGUCUCGCCGCAGCCUCUCCUGCGCAGUAGUUUGCACAACUCGCACCGGGAGCGCGGCGCGUCCACGUCCGUAAAACACCCAACUUCUGAAAUGUUGACCUCGGAUCAGGUAGGAAUACCCGCUGAACUUAAGCAUAUCAAUAAGCGGAGGA
rnacentral:misc_RNA from 1 species